GAAUUGCUUUUUGAAUGCGAAGAAACAUACUAGUGUUAUCCAUCUCAAGGCAGCACUUCCAUCAUCCUGGCACUACACAUUGUAUGUGCUGUUGCGUUGGUAGAGUGCCAUGCUUGAAGCCUGUGAUGGCAAUAUUAAGUUGACCUCAAGGAGGACAAAGGACUUAACUCUCAUGUGCAUAAAAGCUGAAUGCUGCUGCUGAAAAGGGCUUCUUGGUCUUUCUGCAGCCCCAGUUUAGAGGUGCAGAGAGAAAAGCUGAACGGGAGGUGGGACAAAGCAAAUGCCUGGACUUCUUCAGCCUGCUACUAUUCUCUGGGCACCCAAGCUCUCCAUCCACCUUGUUUUUCUCGAUGUUGUGGGCACCAAACCAUCCUAGCUGUCACUCAUGACUGCAUUGGGGCAUCAGCUCUGACCUCUCUUACAUAUAGGUAAUGCCUCAAUCUUUCAGCUGCUUUUANNNNNNNNNNNNNNNNNNNUUUCCGGCUUUUAAGAUGCAUCUUUUCCCAGUCUUCCUUGCAGUUAAAAUUCUUUUUUAAAUUUCUACUAUUCAGCAGCUCAGUCGCUGCAACAUCCUUUUCUCUGGCCUUGACACAUGCAGUCUGGCCUUUGCCCUAUCCAUACUGAAUGCCGCUGCUAUUGCUUUGAAGCAGAUCCUUUUCCGAGCCUGUCACUUUGAGCAUGUCACGCCUCUCUUGGCAUCUCUGCACUAGCUUCCCCUCCCCUAUCACAUCAACAUAAGCUGCCUAUCUUCAUUUUGAAGGCCCCCUGGGACUCUACCUAUCAUCUCACAUUGUCAGGAGGCAUGAACAGGGAACAGAGCAGCUCCGCUAACAGCCUGCAUUGAGCUGGCUUACGGUUUGGCCUGCUUGGGCCUUAAAAUGCCAUUUCGGAGUAGGAUGUGGGUAAACAGGAUUGGUCAAGAGCAGGCAAGGGUGUCACUGUUAAAGGUAGUCAGGAACGCAGAAAACCUUAAAAUAUAGCAUCUCCUUUUGUCCAGUGAGCCAUCCUCUUGUGUUCAUCCAAAAUGCAAGCCCUUUCUCAUUUUCUCCCUUGUGGUCUCUCUCAUAUUUAGAAGGUACCCUGCAUAAAUUCCCUCAGACUUAAGUUCAUAGUUCUCUAGACUCUCCUUAAAGCUUUCCCUUGCCAUGACAUCUGCAAAAGAUUUGACAGUGUUUAUACUGCUAGUGAGGUAAUACUGCUGUCAGCCACACUGAGCAUUCCCAUUUCCUCUCUUCUCCCUCUGCCUGUUUGUAUCUGGCUGUGGUCUCCUGUCCUCUGUUUAGUUUGUAAUCACCUUGGGAUGGGGCCAUGAUUUUGUUCAAUGUUUACACAGUACUUUAUACAAUAUUUGUUGUUAGGGUUCCUGCAUUGUCUAAUAAUACAGAUAAUAAAUAAAAACAAUAACAGCCUGUGGCA
ensembl:lncRNA